rnacentral:lncRNA from 1 species
GCCGCAGCUCGAUGUGAACAGGACUUCUUAAAAACAUUCAGCAGGCACAUGUUAGCAAUGCUUCGUUUAACUAGCUUUGAGUGAGAGGAACUAAAAGGUAGCAGAGGUUUACUAGCCCGAGGUUCAUACUGCCAACAGACGUGGUUACUUGCUAAAAACAAUCUAAGAUCUAAAAACCUGAUGGAGGAAUCUACCGAAAGUUCGUGGGUCACUUCUAUGGGAGAUAAAGUCUGCCUGAAGGUCGUCGGCGAAGGCGGCGA